rnacentral:ncRNA from 1 species
GAAAAGAUCCCAGCCAGAUCAUCAUUACCAACCCUGUGCGGCAGGCGGCAACGACUGACGUAAAGCGUGGGAAGGAAGGCAGUAGGGAUAGUAUAGAGCACCGAAACUGAGAAAAAGCCGUGAGCUGACCCAGUGGGAAGCGGGGAAGGCAACACUUUGACGGAUGUUAGAGGCGAGACCGACAAAGCCACGGCGGUGUCUGAGACC